AAAUUGAAGAGUUUGAUCAUGGCUCAGAUUGAACGCUGGCGGCAGGCCUAACACAUGCAAGUCGAGCGGUAGCACAGAGAGCUUGCUCUCGGGUGACGAGCGGCGGACGGGUGAGUAAUGUCUGGGAAACUGCCUGAUGGAGGGGGAUAACUACUGGAAACGGUAGCUAAUACCGCAUAAUGUCGCAAGACCAAAGUGGGGGACCUUCGGGCCUCAUGCCAUCAGAUGUGCCCAGAUGGGAUUAGCUAGUAGGUGGGGUAACGGCUCACCUAGGCGACGAUCCCUAGCUGGUCUGAGAGGAUGACCAGCCACACUGGAACUGAGACACGGUCCAGACUC
rnacentral:rRNA from 1 species